CCCUUAGAUGUUCUGGGCCGCACGCGCACUACACUGACACGUUCAUCAAGUCUAUAACCUUGACCGAGAGGUCUGGGUAAUCUUUUAAAAACGUGUCGUGCUGGGGAUAGAUUAUUGCAAUUAUUAAUCUUCAACGAGGAAUUCCUAGUAAACGCAAGUCAUCAACUUGCAUUGAUUACGUCCCUGCCCUUUGUACACACCGCCCGUCGCUACUACCGAUUGAAUGAUUUAGUGAGUACCAGGGACCGAGCGCUUUGGUUGGGUUUCCUUCCCUAGCGCUUGGGAACUGUCGCAAACUUGACCAUUUAGAGGAAGUAAAAGUCGUAACA
rnacentral:rRNA from 1 species